GAUAUUAUUAGUGCAGCAGUCAGACUGCGAAUGAUAAGAUCCGUAGUCAAAAGGGAAACAGCCCAGACCACCAGCUAAGGUCCCCAAGUAUAGAUUAAGUGGAAAAGGAUGUGGGAUUUCUAAGACAACUAGGAUGUUGGCUCAGAAGCAGCCAUACAUUAAAAGAGUGCGUAAUAGCUCACUAGUCAAGAGAUCCUGCGCCGAAAAUGUCCGGGGCUCAAACUUACCACCGAAGCUACGGGUUCACUUUUAAAGUGAGCGGUAGAGGAGCGUCGUAAUCGGGCUGAAGUCGUACCGAAAGGAGCGGUGGACUGAUUACGAGUGAGAAUGUUGGCAUUAGUAGCGAGAUGUAGGUGAGAAUCCUACAGGCCGAAUAUCUAAGGUUUCCUGAGUAAAGUUUGUCUUCUCAGGGUUAGUCGGGACCUAAGGCGAGGCCGAAAGGCGUAGCCGAUGGACAAUUGGUUGAUAUUCCAAUACCACUACAAUCGUUAUUAUCGAUGGUGUGACGGAGAAGGAUAGGAUGUGCCAGCUAUUGGAUGCUGGUCUAAGCGUUGAGGGAGUUAGAGUAGGCAAAUCCGCUCUAACAAUUCUGGGGCGUUAUGGGGAAGGUUCUACGGAACCGAAGUAUCUGAUUUCAUGCUUCCAAGAAAAGCAUCUAGAGAGAGAAGUAGUGCCCGUACCGCAAACCGACACAGGUAGAUGAGGAGAGAAUCCUAAGGCCGACGGAAGAAUUGCAGUUAAGGAACUAGGCAAAUUGACCCCGUAACUUCGGGAGAAGGGGUGCCUGCGAGAGCAGGCCGCAGAGAAUAGGCACAAGCAACUGUUUAACAAAAACACAGGUCUCUGCUAAAGCGUAAGCUGAUGUAUAGGGGCUGACGCCUGCCCAGUGCCGGAAGGUUAAAGGGAGGGGUUCGGGCAAGUUCGCUUGCUCAAAGCUCUGAACUGAAGCCCCGGUGAACGGCGGCCGUAACUAUAACGGUCCUAAGGUAGCGAAAUUCCUUGUCGGGUAAGUUCCGACCCGCACGAAUGGCGUAACGAUCUGGGCACUGUCUCAACAAGGGACUCGGCGAAAUUGUAGUACCGGUGAAGAUGCCGGUUACCCGCGAUUGGACGGAAAGACCCCGUAGAGCUUUACUGUAGCUUAGCAUUGAGCUCCGGUAUUGUUUGUACAGGAUAGGUGGGAGGCUUGGAAACCAGGGCGUCAGCCUUGGCGGAGCCGUCCUUGGGAUACCACCCUGAUGAUACUGGAGCUCUAACGGGCAGCCAUAUAUCUGGCUGACGGACACUGCUAGGUGGGCAGUUUGACUGGGGCGGUCGCCUCCCAAAAGGUAACGGAGGCGCCCAAAGGUUCCCUCAGUGCGGUUGGAAAUCGCGCGCAGAGUGCAAAGGCAGAAGGGAGCCUAACUGCGAGACAGACAUGUCGGGCAGUGACGAAAGUCGGGCUUAGUGAUCCGGUGGUUCCGAGUGGAAGGGCCAUCGCUCAACGGAUAAAAGCUACCUCGGGGAUAACAGGCUGAUCUCCCCCAAGAGUCCACAUCGACGGGGAGGUUUGGCACCUCGAUGUCGGCUCGUCGCAUCCUGGGGCUGUAGUAGGUCCCAAGGGUUGGGCUGUUCGCCCAUUAAAGCGGCACGCGAGCUGGGUUCAGAACGUCGUGAGACAGUUCGGUCCCUAUCCGUCGCGGGCGUAGGAAAUUUGAGAGGAUCUGCUCCUAGUACGAGAGGACCAGAGUGGACUUACCGCUGGUGUACCAGUUGUCUUGCCAAAGGCAUCGCUGGGUAGCUAUGUAGGGAAGGGAUAAACGCUGAAAGCAUCUAAGUGUGAAGCCCACCUCAAGAUGAGAUUUCCCAUGAUUUUAUAUCAGUAAGAGCCCUGAGAGAUGAUCAGGUAGAUAGGUUAGAAGUGUAAGUGUGGUGACACAUGUAGCGGACUAAUACUAAUAGCUCGAGGACUUAUCCAA
rnacentral:rRNA from 1 species